UACGGAAGGCAGCAGUGGGGAAUAUUGCACAAUGGGCGCAAGCCUGAUGCAGCCAUGCCGCGUGUAUGAAGAAGGCCUUCGGGUUGUAAAGUACUUUCAGUCGUGAGGAAGGUGUUAAGGUUAAUAACCUUAGCAAUUGACGUUAGCGACAGAAGAAGCACCGGCUAACUCCGUGCCAGCAGCCGCGGUAAUACGGAGGGUGCGAGCGUUAAUCGGAAUUACUGGGCGUAAAGGGCACGCAGGCGGUUAAUUAAGUUGGAUGUGAAAUCCCCGGGCUUAACCUGGGAAUGGCAUUCAAGACUGGUUAGCUAGAGUCUUGUAGAGGGGGUAGAAUUCCAUGUGUAGCGGUGAAAUGCGUAGAGAUGUGGAGGAAUACCGGUGGCGAAGGCGGCCCCUGGACAAAGGCUGACGCUCAUGUGCGAAAGCGUGGGGAGCGAAACAGGAUUAGAUACC
rnacentral:rRNA from 1 species